CAGCUAAAUUCUGCUUCAAGCAAUAUAAACAGGCUCUUCGCCAGCACUAGUAACAUCAAUCCUUCACCAUGAGGUUUUUCUCGAUCCUGAUUAUGGUAAUUAUGGCGUGUUUGAUGGCCGCUACCACCACCCUCGCCCAUCCUGAUGCAGAACCAUCGCGCUCUCGUGGCGGUCAUCGUGGCGGUGGUCGUCGAGGUGGUGGUGGUCGAGGUGGCUACGGACAUCGUGGCUAAAGAGUGCGAAUCCUGUUUUCAAGUUCAAGUAUGUUUAUUGAGACAAGAAAGAAAUACUUCUCAGAGGGAUAGAGUAGCUUAGGCUAUUUCUACCUCUCCCUCCGUAUCCUGUUAAUAUCUGUAGUACUGCGAAACCCAUGUUCGUCGCGGGCACUCGGACGUCUCCGCUCCGCUCACUGAAUCUUUUAGAUCAUAUUUUAAGGAAAGAUUUUCACAUGAAGUAAAGUUAUACACGAAAAAUUAUCACCUAUGGCCUUUUAUAACAAUAAAAAACAGAGUUUCACUUAGUGAGAAACUGAUUUGGAAUAUUUUAAUUACUGGUUUGAUCAUUACAGUUAUUAUUAUUAUUAAAAUUACUUUUACAUAUCAAUGUUAAUUAUUUUGUUGCAAACUACAGUUGUACUGUUCUCUACUUGUCUGUAAAGUUACUUUCAUCAGUAGAUAUACUUGUAAGUUUAUGUUAUUAGCCGUUGGGCUUUAUUAUUAUUAUUACUAUUAUUUGUAUUAUUGGCUGUAGAUUUAUUUGUAAUUUAAUUAUUUCCUGUCAUCUGUACCCUGCAGGUUGACGGUGAACUGUGAAAACUCGACAAAUUUAAACAAAUCCUAAAUACAGUUUUAUUUUCGCA